AGAGAGAGACAUGCGCGCAUAUCAAUAAGCGGAGGAAAAGAAACUAACAAGGAUUCCCUUAGUAACGGCGAGUGAAGCGGGAAGAGCUCAAAUUUGAAAUCUUCAAGGUUUUACCUUGACGAAUUGUAGUUUAAAGAAGUGUUUUCUGCUGAAGUUUUGGUAAAAGUUCUUUGGAAUAGGACAUCAUAGAGGGUGGGAAUCCCGUAUUUGACCAUUAUUUUCAGCUUUGUGAUACACUUUCAAAGAGUCGGAUUGUUUGGGAAUGCAGUCCAAAAUGGGUGGUAAAUUUCAUCUAAAGCUAAAUAUUGGCGAGAGACCGAUAGCGAACAAGUACCGUGAGGGAAAGAUGAAAAGAACUUUGAAAAGAGAGUUAAACAGUACGUGAAAUUGUCAAAAGGGAAGCGUUUGACACCAGUGUUGUUUUCUCGAAAAUCAAUUAAAAAUGGCUCGAUUUUGUAUUGCUGAGACCUUAAAAGCUCACUGUACAUUUUUCGUGUCUUUUUUAAUGCACUUUUCGUUUAACAAGUCAACAUCAGUUUCUUUUGUUGUAAAAGGGGUCAUUGGAAGGUGGCUUUCUUUUCGGAGAAAGUGUUUAUAGCCUUUGGCCUCUGCAAUCGGAAGAGACUGGUCUGCAGCGUAGACUCUUCGGGGUUAGAUACAUUUGUGCUAAGUUAUAGCUUUUUAUAGGCAACUUGUUGACUGUAAUUAGUCUUGUAGCUUACUCGCUUAUGCUAUUUUACCUACGCUUAGGAUGUUGAAGUCAUCGUAUCGCGC
rnacentral:rRNA from 1 species